AACGAACGCUGGCGGCAUGCCUAACACAUGCAAGUCGAACGAGACCUUCGGGUCUAGUGGCGCACGGGUGCGUAACGCGUGGGAACCUGCCCUUAUGUUCGGAAUAACUCCCCGAAAGGGGUGCUAAUACCGGAUAAUGUCUUCGGACCAAAGAUUUAUCGCUUUUGGAUGGGCCCGCGUUGGAUUAGCUAGUUGGUAGGGUAAAAGCCUACCAAGGCGACGAUCCAUAGCUGGUCUGAGAGGAUGAUCAGCCACACUGGGACUGAGACACGGCCCAGACUCCUACGGGAGGCAGCAGUGGGGAAUAUUGGACAAUGGGCGAAAGCCUGAUCCAGCAAUGCCGCGUGAGUGAUGAAGGCCUUAGGGUUGUAAAGCUCUUUUACCCGGGAUGAUAAUGACAGUACCGGGAGAAUAAGCUCCGGCUAACUACGUG
rnacentral:rRNA from 1 species